rnacentral:rRNA from 1 species
AGCAGCCGCGGUAAUUCCAGCUCCAAUAGCGUAUAUUAAAGUUGUUGCAGUUAAAAAGCUCGUAGUUGAAUUUCGGGGUUAGCAGGUUGGUCGUGCCACUGGUAUGUACUGGCCUUGCUGAUUCCUCCCUCUUGAUGAGCCGUAAUGCCAUUAAUUUGGUGUUGCGAGGAAUCAGGACUGUUACUUUGAAAAAAUUAGAGUGUUUAAAGCAGGCAAGCGCUUGAAUACAUUAGCAUGGAAUAAUGAAAUAGGACGUUUGAUCUUAUUUUGUUGGUUUCUAAGAUUGACGUAAUGAUUAAUAGGGAUAGUUGGGG